rnacentral:rRNA from 1 species
UGCGGACGGGUGAGUAAUGUCUGGGAAACUGCCUGAUGGAGGGGGAUAACUACUGGAAACGGUAGCUAAUACCGCAUAACGUCGCAAGACCAAAGAGGGGGACCUUCGGGCCUCUUGCCAUCGGAUGUGCCCAGAUGGGAUUAGCUAGUAGGUGGGGUAACGGCUCACCUAGGCGACGAUCCCUAGCUGGUCUGAGAGGAUGACCAGCCACACUGGAACUGAGACACGGUCCAG